UACGUAGGGUGCGAGCGUUAAUCGGAAUUACUGGGCGUAAAGCGUGCGCAGGCGGUUGUGCAAGACAGAUGUGAAAUCCCCGGGCUUAACCUGGGAACUGCAUUUGUGACUGCACGGCUAGAGUACGGCAGAGGGGGAUGGAAUUCCGCGUGUAGCAGUGAAAUGCGUAGAUAUGCGGAGGAACACCGAUGGCGAAGGCAGUCCCCUGGGCCUGUACUGACGCUCAUGCACGAAAGCGUGGGGAGCAAACCGG
rnacentral:rRNA from 1 species